UCCCAUCCCAGGCCCUAGCACAGCUCCUUCAUGUGUAUGAUGUGGCCCUAGAACAUGUCACAGCCCAGCAGGAAACAGUCAUCUCUCUCACAACUCGAGCCAAGGUCACUUCCUGGGCCAUAGGAGCCAAAGCAACCCGCUUUAGGCAGCUCUGCACCUCACUCAACUCACCCUCAGCAGCUCUGCUUCUGUUCAAAGUUACCAUUUUGGACUAAGGAAGGGCUUAUGCUGGUUUUAGAGCCCUGGAAGGAUUUCUGGGGAACCUGGUGCCACCUUUGCUGUCCUGAGAGUUUCAGCAGGCCAACAGUCUCUGCCGUUGGUUUUCCCAGGUGCAGAAGAAGCUGACUUUGAGGACAGAGGAUCAAAACGGAGCUGUAGGAACUUAGAGAUUCCAUGACCAUUAGCGUUCGUCUGAAGCAGGAAACUGUGGGGACACCUGGACAGAGCACUCUGACACACAAAGAAGGAGCAAACUGGCUUUAUGGCCGGUGGCUCAGCCAGUGGCUCCUGUCAGUCUCGAGAGCCUGAAGAGAAGUUCGCUCUUCUUUCUGUACCUCUUUUACAUCUACGAGGCUUAUUUUCAUUGGAGUUUCCCUGGGAAUAUGGCAAGCAGGAUUUACACAAAGCACGGGGAGGGGGUGGGCCAAGAGCUCUGGCAGGACUUUGUGAGUCUGUUCUGCUCCUUUCGUGACAGAUUCCAGAAGCUGUCAAGGUUACUCAGGUGCAUUCUACAAAGAGCAUAGUUACCCAGUUAACCCAGUUGUCCAAUUCCACAGGGAGGCGUGGUGUCCUCUCACUUGGGCCAAGAAAAUACUUCACUGGGGAAGCCUUCUUACUGAUUUCAUGUCAUGUUUUUUAGAGCUCUGGGUAAGAUUUUUUGCUUGAGGAAAAGAAAUUCCACUGAUUUUAACCAAAACAAGGAAGCAAACCAGAAGCCGGCUGGCUGUGAUUUCUCUGUACUUAGCAAUGGAGAGCGUGCCCUGAGAUUGUGGUGGGACUGGAAGACUGCAAGUGCAGAAGCCCCACUUCCUGUUUCCCAGCCCACAAGCCUUUGUUGUUCUUUUCAGAACUUGUUAUCCUUCCUCGGCUGCUCUGCGGUCAGAGGGCCUGGAGGGGAGCAGGCUGCCUCCUAAGCUCAGCGCUUGGAGCCAGGCCCAGCCUCCGUCAGGAGAGAUGGCCCCAGCAGGGGAGGUCAGACACAGGAAGUCAGGAACGUGGCACCCGCUCUGCGUGCCAGGAAGGCCUCCUUCCUCCCCGUGACUGGUCUUCAAGGUCUGAAUUUCUAUCAUUUGAGAUUUCUUUCUUUGGUUCGAUCACUGUGCUUUUUGAGUUCUUCUUUUCAAGCUCCCUCUUUCUUCUCUAGGGUGAGAAGCCAGCUGAGUUUCUCUCUGGAAGGGAUCCUAGGAGCCAGAAGAGAAGGGGCGGACACUAGGAAAGGAAAGUGAGGGGAGAACGGCAGGAACGGGGCAAGGUGCAUUGGCAUGCGGCCUACAGCCUCAGCACUGUCCCUGGGGUCCGCCGGCUGGCUGCAGAGACUGCUAGGCCUGGGUGACCCAGAGAUCACUUAAAGGACACAGGAGGGUGUGUGAUGCUCUGCCCUUUUAUACAAGGGACUUGAACUUCUAGGAACUCUGGGGUCCAAGAGGGAACUGAACCCCCACCAGUACUGAGCAAUGACUGCAUAAGACAAUUUCUCUAAGCAGCACUCAUAUUCUCGUGCCUUCCUAGAAUAGAGGAUGAUAAAAAUAAGCAUAAUUUUCAUCGUGAACAAGAGGCCAAAUUCUUCCACAUCCGAUACUAACAUUUGGAUCUUCGGGGCUCCUGGGGGAGCAGAAGUGCUGGUGUCCGUGUCUGCACUCACUGAAUUCCUAGUUGAGGAUGUGGAGACUUGCCCAUGGUCACUGAUGGAGGAAGUGGAGAUUCGCACCCACCUGUCUGAGCCAAAGGCCCCGUCUUUCUCCUGGACAGCUCACCGGGGUCCGAAGCCAAACAGGUCCCAGCGGAGGAGCUGCCCCACGCAAGGGACUCUGCUCCCGGCCCAGGUGCUCAGGGGUCCUUGGGCCUCCCUGGGUGUGAAACCUGCCUUCCUGCAUGGGGCGCUCUCUGAGACUCCAGGCUGGAGCUCCUGUCCACUCCUGCAGGAGAAAAGGAGGAGGGUUAGGGUUGCUCCCAGUCCCCAGCCUAGAGUCCCUCUCAGGGCGCCUUUUGUUGCCAAGGAAGAUGAAGCAGAUGUCCUGGCGGCGCUCCGGACGCUUCCUGCCA
rnacentral:lncRNA from 1 species